ACCCUCCAGAUUCCUUUCCCCAUCCGAUCUCAACAUUGGUCUGAGUGACUAUAAAGGAGGAAAAGUAAAAGGGGACACAGAUUUGGGUGCUUUUUGUGCCACACAGGU
rnacentral:snoRNA from 1 species